rnacentral:rRNA from 1 species
UGGGGAAUAUUGGACAAUGGGCGCAAGCCUGAUCCAGCCAUGCCGCGUGAGUGAUGAAGGCCCUAGGGUUGUAAAGCUCUUUCACCGGUGAAGAUAAUGACGGUAACCGGAGAAGAAGCCCCGGCUAACUUCGUGCCAGCAGCCGCGGUAAUACGAAGGGGGCUAGCGUUGUUCGGAUUUACUGGGCGUAAAGCGCACGUAGGCGGACUUUUAAGUCAGGGGUGAAAUCCCGGGGCUCGACCCCGGAACUGCCUUUGAUACUGGUAGUCUUGAGUUCGAGAGAGGUGAGUGGAAUUCCGAGUGUAGAGGUGAAAUUCGUAGAUAUUCGGAGGAACACCAGUGGCGAAGGCGGCUCACUGGCUCGAUACUGACGCUGAGGUGCGAAAGCGUGGGGAGCAAACAGG